rnacentral:snRNA from 12 species
CUACUAACCUGGCAUAGGGGUUAACGUGAUCAAGAAGGCGGUUUCCCCGAAACGAGGCUUGGCCAUUGUACUGCGGUGCAGUUCACCUUUGCGAUUAUUCUUAAUACUGAAUAUUCGUUUAUAUUAAUAGUGUUUGUAGAUUAUAUCUAU